rnacentral:rRNA from 1 species
CCUACGGGUGGCAGCAGUGAGGAAUAUUGGUCAAUGGCCGCAGGGCUGAACCAGCCAAGUCGCGUGAGGGAUGACGGUCCUAUGGAUUGUAAACCUCUUUUGUCAGGGCGCAAAGGGCUCACCGUGUGGCGUUUUGCGAGUACCUGAAGAAAAAGCAUCGCCUAACUCAGUGCCAGCAGCCGCGGUAAUACGGAGGAUGCGAGCGUUAUCCGGAUUUGGUGGGUUGAAAGGGAGCGUAGAUGGGUUGUUAAGUCAGUUGUGAAAGUUUGCGGUUCAACCUUAAAAUUGCAAUUGAUACUGGCAGCCUUGAGGACAGUUGAGGUAGGCGGAAUUCGUGGUGUAGCGGUGAAAUGCGUAGAUAUCACGAAGAACUCCGAUUGCGAAGGCAGCCUACUAAAAUGCCACUGACAUUGAUGCUCGAAAGUGUGGGUAUCAAACAGGAUUAGAUACCCUGGUAGUC